rnacentral:rRNA from 1 species
GAAUAUUUGAGUCACGAAUUUGGCACGCACUUAAGGAAAUGUGGAAUUGUUCCACAACUCACGCCGCCUAGAAUACCUCAGCGUAAUGGUGUGUACAAACAUCAUAAUCGCACUCUAUUAGAUAUGGUGCGAUCUAUGAUGUCUCUUACCGAUCUACCGCUAUCAUUUUGGGGUUAUGCUAUAGAGACUGCCGCAUUCACUUUAAAUAGGGCUCCGUCGAAAUCCGUUGAGACGACACCGUAUGAAUUGUGGUUUGGCAAGAAACCUAAGCUGUCGUUUCUGAAAGUUUGGGGAUGCGAUGCUCAUGUCAAGAAACUUCAACCUGAAAAGCUCGAACCCAAAUCGGAAAAAUGUGUCUUCAUAGGAUACCCUAAAGAAACUAUUGGGUAUAGCUUCUAUCUUAGAUCCGAAGGCAAGACCUUUGUUGCCAAGAAUGGAUCCUUUCUAGGGAAAGAGUUUCUCUCGAAAGAAGUAAGUGGGAGGAAAGUAGAACUUGAUGAAGUAUUGCCUCUUGAACCGGAGAGUGGCGCAGCUCAAGAAAUUGUUCCUGAGGUGUCUGCA